rnacentral:lncRNA from 1 species
UUUCCACCAUACCUAGAAUCUCAUUAGUAUACACGACGUUAGAUGUCUAAUUGGUGAUCAUAAGUAUUAAAAGGAUGUAUGGACACAACUUAACUGAUGAAACAUCUUGCUGACAGAACAAACUGAUCACCGUGAAGCCCGACACCAAGGUCCUGCAAGCGAUGCAGCUGAUGACAGGUAACCAACAUGUGUCCUUCUGUCAAGCAGACAAGCGGUAUUACUAGAACUGUUGAGGGCACUGGAAUUGAUCAUGAUCUGUCGCACCAAUCUCUUCUUGCAGAGAACCGCAUCAGACACAUCCCGGUGAUCGACGGCACGGGGAUGGUGGGGAUGGUCU